rnacentral:rRNA from 1 species
AACGAACGCUGGCGGCAUGCCUAACACAUGCAAGUCGAACGAACCCUUCGGGGUGAGUGGCGCACGGGUGCGUAACACGUGGGAACCUGCCCUUAGGUUCGGAAUAACAGUUAGAAAUGACUGCUAAUACCGGAUAAUGUCUUCGGACCAAAGAUUUAUCGCCUUUGGAUGGGCCCGCGUAGGAUUAGCUAGUUGGUGAGGUAAAGGCUCACCAAGGCGACGAUCCUUAGCUGGUCUUAGAGGAUGAUCAGCCACACUGGGACUGAGACACGGCCCAGACUCCUACGGGAGGCAGCAGUGGGGAAUAUUGGACAAUGGGCGAAAGCCUGAUCCAGCAAUGCCGCGUGAGUGAUGAAGGCCUUAGGGUUGUAAAGCUCUUUUACCUGGGAUGAUAAUGACAGUACCAGGAGAAUAAGCCCCGGCUAACUCCGUGCCAGCCGCCGCAGUAA